UAAUUUCACCUAGGAGAAUAAUUAGAAAAUUCAUUUUACACUUUCACUAGAAGUAUUUACCUAAAGGAAGGAAUUUACGGUACACAUUUCUGGAUUAAAAAAAUUAUUAAAAAAAAAAAUGCAAAACAUUUUGGUGGAUUUUCCAUUAAAUGUGAAAUUUUGGUAUUAAGCUUUGUUAGAUUUCAAAAAGGGUUGUUGGUUUAAUAUAAUUUCAAAUUAAUCCACCGUUUAAGAGAAAGUGUGAUUAAUUUUUUUUUUUCAAAAAGAAUUGGACACUUUCUAUACGAAGAGAUGAUGAAUUAUUAACCUCUUUUUCUCUUCUUAAUUAUAUCCAGUCAGCAAUGUUUUUUCAAAUCAUCGUUUUGCAUCAAAAUAUAAAAACACCACUUAGAGUCUAAAUUAACACCAUGGUCCAUAUUAUACAUAUGGGAUUACAUAAUCCCAAUUCCCAAUAAGGUAUACAAACAAAUUAGGGAGACAGAAGAAGUUAAGAAAAUGAUUGACGAAUACAAAGUAGAGAAACUUACGAUCAUGAAUCAAGAUGAUGGCAGUGAUAUAUCCAACAACUCUUUUUAUAUUCCCUUGAAUUAAUCUUUAAACUUUUUUUUCUUGAAAACUUGGAGGCAUAGAAUCAGCACUCAGCAGUACAUGGGAUUCAUGCAAGAAGACGAUGAUGAUUGUCCUAUCAUGAAGACAUAUCAAAGAUCUUUCGAAUCUCUGUUUUUUUUUUUUCACUUUUAGGGUUAAAAAGCAAAAGCCAGGAAAAGUAAAAAGUAAAGCCUAUCGAUGUGAUUACACCAAAAAUCAAAAUUUUAUUCCCUCUAUUUUUAUCAAUAAGGAUGGACCUCCAUUAUAUAGCUGACUGUUAGAUUUUAGCAUCUUUUUUUCAUGAUUGAGACUUAGAAUCAUCAACUUUUCCUUAACUUUGCUUUAAGUAAAUUUUGGUUUUAGAUGUGAUUGAAGUGGAUAUAUUUCUCCACCGCUGGUUUAUAUGAUCAUAAGGGAAUAAAUGUUUUCACAUAAAAAAGUGAAAAAAAAUUUUGAACACCAUAGGUCCAUACCUUUUUCAUGUCUAUGUCUUAUAUCAUACUAGAUAUGGACCCGUGCAUUGCACGGGUUGCCCGUCAAAAUUAUCAUUCUUAAUUUUUUUAUUUUAUUUUUGUAAGCUUAACUAAAAUUGUAUAAACAUAUAUGUUUAAAUUUUAGAAAAUACAGCAUUUUAAUUAUUUUUAAAUAUAAAUUUACUAUGCAUAAUGCGCAAUAUAAAAUACUAUUUGUAGUUAUAUAUGUUACACUAAUUAUUAAAUCUUCUUAUAUAAAUAUUGACCUAUUUAUAAAAUUAUAUAAUUUUUUGUUUAUUGUAAGUUAUGAUAUUCAUAAAAUGUUUAUAUGUUGUAUCAUUGAAUUUUAAUAAAUUAUUAUUAUUAUUAUUUUCUUCAUUUUAGUAAAUUAUUUAAAUCCAUCGGAAGAGUGUUACAUCUUAUAAUUUUAAUGUGGACAAUUUAAAAACAAAAAUAUGACACUAAAUAACUUAAGAAUAAAACAAAAAUAAAAAAUUACCAUUUGACUAAACAAUGUCUAUUUGCUACAUGACUUUUGUUAAUUUUUACCCCAUAUUACCCAUUUAUUUUUCGUUCUCUCUUUUUUUCUUCCCCUCGCCGGCGAAAAAGUCUCAAAUCUCUCUCUUUCUCUCAUUAGAUUCUCUUAUUUUUACUCGAUCUUCUGUUUCUCCUUUUCUCACUCUUGUCGGAUUCUUUAGUACCAUAUCUUUUUUCUUUUUCUCUAUCUCCAUUUCUCUCCUUCGUCGGGCAUCACCACCGAGUCUCACUACUCCGACCCACCACCACAACUAGAUCUCAUUACUAUCACAAUCACCACCACCAUCAAUACCAAAUCUCGCUAAUUUUGACCCACCACCUUCGUCAAUAUUUACCGCCAACACCACCAUACUUGAAUCACAGUCAUCAACACCAAUACCACGAUUACCGUCUCUUGUCAUCUUUCUCCAACUGCACUUAAUUAUUUCUCCACCUUCUUUAGCUCCUCCGACAUCGGGCCGAGCCUUUGCGACAACAACUCUAGUCUAUGUCCAUCGUCAUUCAUAAUUCUUAAUUUUUCUCCACUGUCAUAUAUUUCUUGGAUCUGAAUAUCACAUGCUAUUUUUAGAAAACCAUUAUGAUUCAAAGUGUUUUUUUUUUUAUAAAUGACAUGCUAUUUUUUUAUAAGUGUUUUCAACAAAUGAUGAAUGCAUAUAAUUUUUACAUGAUUCAUGUUAUUUUUUAAAAUUACCCUAUCAACACUUCCGUAACCAUCAACCACCACCAUCGUCACCUCCAUAACAAUCACAUACUACUUUUAUUUUUUUUAGUAAGACAUGUUAUUUUAUUAAUUUCUCGUUAGAUGUCUCUCUUUCGUCUCAGAAUUCUAGUAUUGAUAAUCUUUAUUUUUAGAUUGCGUUUUAUUAGUAUUUAUUUCAUGUUUUUUUUCUCCAAAUUACAAUAUGUUGUCGUAUGUUUGUCUUUUGGUUGAGAGCCAUUUUUUACCAAUAGAAAAGUUAAAGCAAUGAUGGUGUUUCUGAAUAAAUAAGUUUGCUUGGUGAAAAAUAUGAAACAAUCCAUUUGUUUAUCCUUUUUCUUAUACGAUUAAUAAAUGAUUUUAUAAUUUUUUAAAUCUUUUUUCUAUAUUUAAAUCUUUAUAUUGUACAGUUAGUAACUUCUAAAUAAACAUUUUAGCAUAAUUUUAUAAUUUCGUCUUUUUGUGGAAAAUAUACAUAUUAUUUUCUUAUAUACAUAUAUUUUUCUUUUUAUAUUUUUAAGUUGUUAAAAACAAAACUUUUGUUUACUAUAUGGCAAAAUCUCUUAUGGAAAUAUAGGUAUAAUUUCCUUCUAGUUAUCUUUUUACAUUUUAAAACUUUUUAAAUUUACAAUUUUUUUAUAAUUAACUUUUUUUAUAAAUAUUUUUUACAUUUUUAAAAUUAUUUAAAUUUAUAAUUAUGUACAAUUAUCUUUUUAUAUAUUUUAAAAAGGAAAUUUUUGUUUUACACGUGUCAAAAUCUAAGAUCGAUAGAUUUGACACAUGUCACGAUCCUAUGAGUUAUUAACUUUGAAAACCAUAUUUUAUAAUAAGAUAUGGCUUUUAAACCUCAUAAAAAACAACGCCGUUUAAAGUAUUCGAUUGGGUUAAAAUGAGUAUAGGUGUUAGGCCAUUUAUGGAUUUGGGCUUUUCUGUAUCAAAGUUAUGGGCCCACAUUUUCCUCUGUUGCAUAAUAAUAUUCUUCGUUACCAUUUUAUGGCAACAAAUGGGUUAAAGUAUUUCGAUUAAACGGACUAUAUAUGUGAAUCUUUAACAUUCGUCCACCAUUUGUUAUAUACACACACGCAAGUAUUAAUAUAUUAACCGUUCUCGUUAUGAGUCGGAAUUAAUGUGUUAAUUUAAAUCUAACCAGAAUUUUUUUACAGAAUAAAAUACUGCUCCCUGGAUUCUGACAUAUCUCAUGUGGAUGAUGCUUGUAUGAACUAGGAAGUAUUUCGAUUUUUGAAUUGGUCAUGUUAGGUAUAAAAUUGCAAAAGUCAUACUCAUAUGAUAUUAAAUUUGAUAAUACAACCAGUACAUGGUGGUCUAAGUCUAACCUUCAUGUGGUGGACCAAUUGAUAACUCUAGAUUUCAUUUCAAUUGUUAUCCAAGGUGGGUUUGGGGAAAACUCUUUUUCGAAUUAGUACGCUCAUCUCUAGAGUAGACGACCACAUUUAAAAAAAAAAAUUGAAUAUGUGAUGCUUAAUCUAAAAGCAUGUAUAUUUUUGAAAUAGUCUACAAAUUUUCAAUUUUUUUUUUUUUUUUUUUUGAUAAUUAGAGAGUGAUCCGGACUUUUACCAUCCAAUUAAUCUUCUAAGAGUGAGUGUAUCUCUCGAGUAACAUUUUCACUAGAGUUUUUAAUAGGCCUAAAUCUAAUACAAAACAUCACUUAGACAUACCAUUUGAAAAUAGAUCCUGACCUAGAUAUAUAUGAUAAUUUGUUCUCAAGUGAAAACCAUUAGACCUCUACCACUUGGUUAAAUUUUGGAAUAAUUUAUCACAAAUUGGGGUUUAGAAAUUAUUAUGGACUUCUACCUUUUUUUUUUUUUUUUGUUAAGUCGGCAGACUUUUACCUAGAUUUCCUACUUUGUCAAAUUGAAGAUAGAGAUAAUUUAUACUUGGGCGCACAUAUGUGAAAAGAGAAAACAAAAUAGAGUGUGUGUAUACAAUAUACACUUUAAUACACAUGAACACUUCUGCAUUGUUAUGUACUCAUUUUACAUUCGAAAAAAUGGUUUUGGUAGAGACUUUUUACUACAGCGGAGAAAUCGAACUCUUGUUUUUGUACAAACAUGAUACUGAGGAGGAGCUUCCAUUUGUCUUCAACGUGCUCGACGAAAUAUCUGACUGGCUUUUCUCUGUUUCUUCGGUUCUUUCGCCGUUCAAUUCACCAGAAUCAAUGGAAUCACAACUUCUCCGUAAUUGGUCGACGUGACCACCGUUUUUCUCAGAGCAGCUUGCUUCGUCUUCUCCGUUGGGUCUGGUGAAUUCCUGACUCUGAUUCUCGCAUGAUUUUCCCGGAAAAUCGACACUUUCUUUAUGGGUUUUCAUAUGCGAGAGAGAAUUAAUCGAAUCUGCUUCAUUUGAAUCCAUACACUCUCUAAAAACCCUAACUUUCUCUUUCGUCUCUGUUUCAGAUCCAUCACCGUCGAUUUCCUCCAAACCCCGAUUAAUCUCAAUUCUUACAUCUGAAUUCAGGUCUCUGUUGUCUGAAUCAUCCCUCUCUUUGAAAUCAGAUUCAUCCCUCUCUCUCCCAAGAUGAUCUUGACCUUCUUCACCAACUCCAUCGUUUUCCAAAUGUGAGCCUAGUCCUCCCGGAGUUACAUCGACCGGACCGGAACACCGUGGAGUGGUAACACUGAUCAUCGCAAUACCAGCACGACACAGAGGACAAUUGGUGUGAGAACUAAGCCAAGUAUCAAUACAAGAGAUGUGAAAAGCGUGGUUACAUUUAGGCAAUAACCUAAGACUCUCAUCUUCUUCAAACUCGUUUAAACAAACAGGACAAUCUGUUCUCUCGAUUAAACCAUCUCCUCUCUUGUAAUUACAGAUCGUAAUCGAGUUUAUGAUUGAUUGUUGUAGACCUGUUGUUCUGAUUAACCAUAUUGGGUGAUCCACUUGUUCCCUAUCUUGAAACUCUUCUCCCAUUACCGUGUCGUUGUCUUCGUUAUCGGACUGAUAUCUUCCGUGGUUGUCACGGUUUACGCUGUCUGAAACGAAUUUCGCUACAAGAAAGAAUCCGGUUAAAAGGAUGGCUAAGACCGCACCGGUUAUGGUGAUGAUGCUUAUGGCGUCCAAGGAAGAUGAUGAGUUUUGAGUUGGUUGAUAAACGGCUGAGAUUGAUGGAGAUGGAGAUGGAGAUGGAGCUGGUGACGAUGACCAUGGAGGGAGCUGUGGUGAUAUGGCGUAGUAAUCGGGUUCUGGAUAGCAAUUGUAAGGGCAAAUCGGGUCGCAGACUCCGUUCGAGCAGUCUAACGUUUUGUUUGUCUCUGAUGCUAAGGUAGGGAAGAGCUUGCGAUGCUUCUUCUUCGCCAUUAAAGAAAACAAUCAAAACACCAAGUCGUUCGUUGCUUGGAGUACAAGAAAUUGAAAUUAAGAGAAUUUCAUUGAGUUUUUUUUUUUGUGUUAUUUUGAUUAGGUUUUGAUAAUGAAGAAGAAGAUUUGAUAUUAUCUUUGGGUUUCUCUUUCACAUUAAUGAGAAAGAUGAAAAUUUCUUCUCAUCUUCGUUGUUGACUUGUUCAGUGGAGGUUGAAGCGUCUUCUAAUUGUUUAAUUGGUGAAGAGUCGUAAUCAUGAAAGCCAUAUUUUACCUUUGAGCUUUUGACUCUUUGGCUUUCGAAGAUUUAAGUAAAAGUUUUAAUCUUUUUUUGGGCCUUGGCCAUCGGGCUUCGGCAGAAUUAUAAUAUUAAAAUUAUUUUGAGACUGCAAGAAAAAAAAAAAACUUUUAACUUGAUCUGUUAGAUCUGAUAAAAAUGUUUUCUUAAGAUCACACAUUAGUAGUGACACAAACAUGGUAUACUAUAUAGCAUGUAAUAGACACAGAACUAGAAUAUGCUUAAAGUUUUCCCUUUGAACCAAUUAAGUCUCAAAUGACUACAAUAAUAUUGUUCAUCAUUUCCACUAACUUUUUUUUGUUGAUUUACGACCUAAAAAUAUAUUGAAAAUAAAAAGCUUACUAAUAAUAAUGUUUUAUGUUGUAAGUUGUAACUUAACUAGUGUCAUCUACGAUAUAAUUUGUUUUUACAGCUUACAAUUUUUAGGUCGUCCAAUCGUCAAGAUGUACGAAACAACUCUGCAUGAGUAAAACUUUCAAAAAUUCAGUUCCACAAAAAUGGAAUAACAUGCAAUACAUACUCUAUUGGUUUAACCACAUACGCAUGUAAGGAGUAAGAACUCUAAUUUCCUCAAUUUACCAAUAGAUAAAACUUAAAAGAGUAUGACUCUAAUUUUCUCAAUUUACCAUUUUAGGAAGUUCUUUGUACACAAAGACAAAGCCUCUAAUGUUUUACCAAGAAUUGGUGUGCUGUCCAAGUUAACUAUUUAGUAUUUCACUGGUGUGCAAAUUGUUUUUUGUUUUUGUUUUUUUUUCAGGAAGGUUCUUUAUUUUCUUAACAAUUGUCCAAUAUCAACACACUUGGACAAAUUUCAAAGAAUAAUGGGCUGCUUAUGAAAAAAAUUAUUAGAUGUUUUAUGGACCUAAACUAAAAAACCCAUUUUUGCUGUUUAAACAGGCCUAUAAUAGUCUACUAAAAACAUUAUAGUAUUAUUUGAGUACCUUACAAAUGCGAAAGACAAAUCAAUGAAUAAUAGUCAACAUUAACAUAAUUUAGUUAAUACUCCCUCGUUUUAUUUGUCGUUUUAGAGUUAAAAUUUUGUUUCAUAAUAGUUAUCGUUUUAGGUUUUCGAUGCAAAUGUUUUGUGAAAAUUCCAGUUUUAUUCCCACUGUUUUAAUGUUUCGGCCAAUGAAUUUUUUAUAAAAUAUAUAAAUAAAAGGUAAAACAGAAAAUUUAAUGUUUUUCUUAAUAUGUGUGAAAAAACUUUAAACGACAACUAAAACGAAACGGAUGAAGUAGUUAAUACUGUAUAUUGCUUUUAUGUGGGCAGUCUAACGACCAGCAUAAUUAGUUGCUGCGUCUCUAUCAUAUCAUGUGCAUGCUUUGUUUUGCACCUUUCGGUGAGAUAGAUUUUGUUUUUUUUCAAACUAAUUACUCAACUAUCACCUUUUUAGUAACUUAGAUUCUAAAUUUAGUAUGACUGAAGCAUUAUUGUACAAUUUUAAGAAAUCUAUAUGUUUCGCAGAAAUUUGAUUUUGAAAGGAGAAACCUCCUUGAUUUGUUGUUUACCAUACUAAAUAUUAGUCAAAUAAAAUGUUAUAGAACGAGGUCUACGACUCUUGUUAGUGUUAAAAAAAUUAAUUAAAUUAAAUUAAUAUACGUCACAUACUCGAUAUUUAGUUGUUGCAAAGUCUCAGUGAUUGCUCGUAAGAAAAGUUUGUUCAUCUGCUUUUGGUUUGGUCCAUUAUAUUGAAUCAUUAAGCGAACUUUGAUGACACAUCGUGACUACUUUGGUUGACAUCAUCAUUUAUCUUUUUACAAAGGGUUUUUGAGUGUGACUUUAUGAUGUGUCACCAAACCUCUUAUGACCCAUUGUGUAGCAACAUUUCCUUUUGUUGAUGUAUGUCUAAAGCUAGAGCAGAGGAGGAACAAGUCUUUAUCCCUAAAUAUGAAAAAAGUUUUCAAAACUUAAAUGAUAUGAGAGAGCUUUAGUUGGAGGGUAAGUGGACCUAACUCUACUAACUCCAACAUAUCCUUUAAUUUGUUUCCAAUCUCUCUAUAUAUUUGAUCACAACUUACAAGGAAUUUCCUUUGUCACACAAUUUUAUUAGAAUAAAGAUACUGUUACACUCAACACACAAAAAUGGCAAACUUGAGUACACUUGUUGGUUUUCUUGUCAUCAUCUUCUUCAAUGUGUUUGCACCUGCUUCUUCUGCCAGUCACCCCGUCGAAUGGUCGCUCGGGAAAGACUAUAGCUCGUUGGCUACCGGAAAGUCCUUCGCUGUUGGCGAUACCAUCGGUAUGUACAUAUACAUUGUCUCUCUUAUACGUAUAGUCUGCAAUUGUUUCAACCACUAAUACAUGCUUUUGCAUUUACAUGUGAAAGUUUUACAUUUUAAAAGCAUUUUUUAAAAGUUUUUUGAUAAUAUCCUUUUGUAAAGUACGUAUAAUCUUUCUGUGUUUGCCAUUAACAUAAUGCUUUUAUACCUUGUUUGCAAAAGAACAAUUUCGAAGUCAUAGUUGUAAAUUUGUAAUAUAGAUUUAUAUGAAUGUGUACAUUGUGUUGCGUAUAGUGUUCAACUACGGUGCGGGUCACACGGUGGACGAAGUGAGCGAAAGUGACUACAAGAGUUGCACAUUGGGGAACGCAAUUUCUUCGGACAGUAGUGGAACCACAAGUAUAGCUCUCAAGACAUCUGGUCCUCACUACUUCAUCUGCGGUAUCCCCGGCCACUGCACCGGCGGCAUGAAGCUCUCUGUCACCGUUCCAGCAGCUUCAUCAGGCGGCAGUACUGGAGACGGUACCACUGACAAAAAUACACCCGUACAAGACGGAAAAACUACACCUUCAGAAGGUAAAAAGGCUAGUCCUUCUGCUUCGGGCACGGCCGUGUUGAAGCCGUUGGAUGCUUUGGUUGUGACUUCUGUAGUUGCAUUGUUGUAUGCUUUGGCUCUCUCUUAAUUAGUUGGUUUCAAGUGUUUUGCUGUGGUUUGACUCGUUUGAAGGACCAGGCUAGAGGCAGUGCUAUUAUAUGCUUCUUAUUAUUAAUUAUCUCUCAUGAUUUUUCCUAUGUUUUGUCUCGUAUUUUCAUUUCAUUCCCACGAUUUUUUUUUUCGCUUUCUUAGGAAAUAAAAAAGUAAAUUAAAUACGAAGCACCAUCCAUAAAAAUUAACAUUUUUUAAUUGAUACUGCAAUUAACAACCUUGCAAAUUUAGAUAAUAAAAAGUAAAAUUUGCCCUUUUGGAAUUUGUGUAUUAUUCCAAAAGUUCCGACACUAUUCACAUUUUCGUCUGAUUUUUUUGCGUGAUUUACAACAUAAAAUACUAAUGAAUUUGGUAUUGUCCUACCAAAUAUUCUUUAACUACAGAAAUCUGGAGACAACUUUUUUAAUUAAUACUCCAUCCAUUUCGUUUUAUUUGUCGUUUAUGACUUAAAUUUUGUUUCGUAAUAGUUGUCGUUUUAGAUUUUCAAUACAAAUAUUUGGUAAAAAUUACAGUAUUAUUCCUAUUGUUUUAAUGUUUUGGUCAAUGAAAAAAUUUAUAAGAUAUAUUAAUAAAAGGUAAAACAGAAAUUUUAAUGUUUUUCUUAAUUUGUGUGAGAAAACUUUAAACGACAACUAAAACGAAACGGAGAGAGUAUUUUAAGAUUCUGAAAUUAUGAAUACUUAAAUAAAUUAUACGUGGGUUGAUCAUGAAAGACUUGAAAGUUGAAAGUCUAGAGAAAGCAUUGACAACUGCCAGAUGGGCAUUGACCUCAUAGGACAUUUGAGUAUAGAGGCCCAAUAACACCGGCCCACCGACUUACCUAAUUAGGUGGACCCGACUUCAGAUCUUAAUACAUCUAAGCCGUCCAUUUAAAAAACACACAGUAACCACUCCAGAUCUCAUAACUAAAACCAACAAAAAGUUUGGUAUAAAUUAAUAAAGUUUGCAUCUACCCUACCAACUUUUUUCAUUCACACAUAAACAAAAUGUCUAGCUUAUCUUAAGUUCUUAACUAAUUGAUAAAUUAGUAAAUACUGAUGCUGAAAAAUGGUUAUAUAUAUCAGAAUAUCAAAUAAGCUUACAACGAGGACUAAUAAUAAACGAACAAGUGUUAACUAAAUUCGAUAAUAAACAUUUUGAAAACAAAUAAACUUGUGGGCCUAUCUCCUUUUAAAAAAUGAAAAAACAAAUAAGUGAAUGAUCCCGGAAACAUCAUGGAAAUUUAAAACCAGCUUUGCAUUAAAUACACGACACACUUAUAAAUACAAACACGAGAUGUUGAAAAAGAAAAGACAAAUUCAAUUCAAGAACAAAGCUCACGACAGACUCUUAGUUAUCAAUGGCGAAUUUUCUCAUCAACAGAAGAACAAGAAGAACAAUGAAAUCAAAGAAAGCUGAAGAAAAGAGAUCAGAUUCAAAUUCUGAUUCAGACAAUAACUUCUCAUGCAAGAAGCACACGAAACAUAGACAGUCUCCUGGAAUCUGUUCCCUCUGUCUCACCGAGAGGCUCUCUAAGCUGUCUCUGGAGUACUACGACUACACUAAGAAGGCAGCUGAAACGGCGACGUAUUGCGGCUCGUCAUCAACAUCUUCUUCCUCGUCGGUCUCGUCUUGCGACUCUUCUUCUUCGGUCUCUUCUUGUUCAUCUCCUUUGCAAUAUCGGUAUAGAGAUCAGAAGAAGAAAGAUGGGAAGAAACAAAGCUUUUUAUUCAGAUUAUUGCUCGGAUCCAUCGUAGAUUAGUUCUUUUAUUUCACUAGUUUUUUAUUCAUUAUUCACUACCUUUUAUAUUUUCAUUAUUCUUCUAUAUCUUUUCAUUCGGGAAAUGCAGAGAAUCAGCAAGUAAAAUGCAAUUUUCUACCUACAAAGUUGUAUUUUAAUUUUGUUUGUGACAAAAUAAAAGAAGUUAAUCUUGUUUAAUUUGUAAAUACGUCACAUAUCUAACGCUAAUAAUUUACGCAAAAACCAUUAGUUGACGGUUAAAAUAAAAUAACCGUUUACCAAUUUUAUCAAAUUUAAAUUCACCCAUAGUACGUGUUGCAUCAAGUAAAACAUAAUUUCAUGAUAAAAUACUUGAUAUGGUCCUUGGUCCACAGAGUUUGUGUGGACAUUUUUCUUUUUAAAAUUAAAUUUAUAUGGACCAAAUACCAUUAAAAUGUGUUCUUAAUGCGUAAAACAACCACCAUCUUUAAUGCAUUUAGAAAAUCAAUUUUACAUAUUUCUAUGCUAUUUAAAUGUUAUGACAAUUUUAACAAUUCAGCAACAGUUGCAAACCAAAGAAUUCUUUUGACAUUUCAUUUCUUAUAAAAUGUAUAGGAUUUAAAAUUUAUAGAUAAAUAUGUGGCUAAAAAAAUAAUUUUAAAUUAAUCAGUUAGAAACAGAUCAAAUGAAUGGCAUGACUUGAAAAUGUUUAUAAAAUUAAAGAUAUAAAGGUACAUUUAUAUAUAAAAAGGUUACAAUUUUUCUCUUAAUUCUUGGCUGAUCAAUUAAUAUAUGAUAGAAAAAGAAAGAGAAGAGAAUGAACAACAUAUGGCCGGGCCAUGACAUGAUAAGCUGGCACAUGAAUGUUACUAGUUGCCAGAGUGAAUGUAAUGUACGGUUAGAGGACAAAGACGUGUUGUGUACUUUCAUAUUAUUAUAUUAUUCACUUAACAGCUGUUCAGAUUUUAUAUUAAGCCGUACCACUAAUGUUUGAUACAUCCAGUCAGAUAAAUGCAUGUGUGUGUGUGUUGCGCGUCCUUCGAACUUAGAAGAUACUAUAUGAUCGAUCAAUCACCAAUGAAAAGUCCCCGUGAAACUUCUUUGAACAUUAGUCUUUUGUUUUUAUUUAUUUUAUCUGCAAUCAUUGAUUUUAGCUUAUGUUCAAACUGAAGAACUAUUAUUAAUUCCCAUUAAACUAUAGUUUCAAUGAUAGGCAUUAACAAGUUUAAGUGUAUUACAAAUUAAUUAGCCAACUAAUAAGAUUGUAGAAUAUGACAAAUAGUGUAAGUUUAAACAAAAUAUGAUCCGAAAAUCAGACCGAAAUGUAGCUUUCUUUUGUGACAAAUGAUGCAAAGCAAGACGGUUUCAAGGACCAACUAUCCUCAAUAUUUCUAGUAUCUUGUGUAUUAACGAUAUUCAAAAAAAAAAAAAAAAAAAAGAAUCACAACUACUCUUCCUAUCAAUGUUGUGUUGGUCCAGUGGUAAAUCUCCUAGGUAGAGGUACUGGGUUCGACGUUCGUUGGAAGGGAUCUCUUCUCCAAAAGAGAUGAAUUUAACCUGGUGUGGGUCCUGCUUCUGGGAGAUGUAGGACCUUCGGGCUUGAACUUCCAGAUAUUCAGGCUGUGAAUGGUGACCUACAUGUGGUACGGUUUUCAAGCCUUUUAUGAAUAACGCACAUAUAUUCACCAUUCAAGCUUAUUUUAAUAUAUUGACGUUUUUGAAAAAAAAAGAAAAAAAAACAAAUCGCGUAAUUGUCUAACAGAUAAAGCUUUGGACCGCUUUUAAAAUCAGAGGCAGUGUUUACCCAGUGGUCUAACUAAAACCGCACCGGGUAAUACAUGUUUUUUUUUCUUUUUUUUUUUCGAUUUUUUAUGAAAAUAUGCACAUGUGCCAAAAACAAAACUCUCUCUCACUCACACUAUCUCUAACUCUCUCAUAUUUGUGUUUUUUCUUAUUCUUUUUUUUUGAAUAGUUUUUUUCUAGUUUUAAUUUUUUUUGAAUAGUUAUUUUAUAUAAACAAAAGAAUUUACAUAAUUUAUAAUAUUAUAGUUAGUUAAACUGAUUUAGAGUAAGAUAUUGAUUUUAAAGUCUCUAUAUGUUCAUUUUUUCAACUAAUUGUCUUAUAUGUAAACUAUUUUUGUUUAAAUUUUAAACAAAAUUACUCAAUACUAUACUAAAUUAUUAAAACAUUGAUGUAUAUUUUCAUGAUUGGAUUAAAAACGCACAUAUAUAUAUAUAUAUAUAUACACUAUAAAGUAAAAUAUAUAUAAAAAAAUAUUAACUAUACUUUUUAAAACUUAUAUAUGUAUCCUGCAAAUUAUUUUUUCACCAAUCAAAGAUUAUUCCUUACCGCUUAUUCUACAAAAAUCGCACUUCUCCCGCAGAUAUAUUUUUCUCGCAUGUACCGCGGUACGACCGUACCGCACUUAAAACCUGCUUUUUAUAUACCGCCAAAUACGCUGUCACCAUUCAGACCCUAAAAAAAAAAAAUCACAACUACUCUGUUUUUUUUUUUUUUGUACCUGACAACUGCACAUUCUCAAGUAAAAAUAAGAGCAGAUUCUACGCAAGUGAAGUUAUCCAGACACUCACCUGAGUUUGAGAUACAUCAAUACUCACACAUAGCACAAAGUAGAGUUAAAACUUAUAUGAAUUAUGGAGAUUUUGUUUUGCCCUUUUAAGAAAAUAUUUCUAAAAUAAAAAAUAAAAAAUAAUAUUCAAGAGUCUUUUGCGUGGUAAAUUUUUUACUUGUAAUUUCUGAAUAAUAUAGCUUAAAUAUUUAAAUGACAAAAGUUUAAGUAUACAUGCAUAAAUUUAGAUUGCUUGGUUACGGGACUGAUGCAAUCUAAAUUUUUGAUAGAAACGUUCUCUCAAAGAAAGCAUCAUUAUUCAGAAAGCAUUAUUAUUCAAAACGUAAUGCUUUCUUUAGAUGCAUAAGUUUACCAUUAUUGAUAGAAACUCGUUUUAAGAAUGUUAAGAGGUUUCUUCACUUGUCUAGCUAUUUUCCUAGAAUUGCAAAUAAUUUGUCCAUUUUGUUCUCUCUAUAUUUUACGACUUUUAGUUUAGCUAACUUUUACUUUCACAACACCCUUCUCUUUUGUUAGAUUUAAAUUUCUCUUGAUUUGAAUAUAAUGCAGAUAAAUUCAUAUAUUCAAAUAGAAAUGAGAAUUGUAUUAUCUUAGGACAUUUAGCCUAGAAUGAAUCUUUGGCAUAUGAAUAUUUCAAUCAUAUGAAAACAAUCUUUCUUCAACAAUUUCAACGCAUAUUGCAAUUUGAAUUUGCAUUGUGAUUCAUAUAAUAAAGAUCAUUAGAGUGAUAUCUCCGGUCUUGUCCACUUGGAUUUAGUUAUAAAGCCACGUGUCGGUAACACAGCCUGCCCGAAAAAAGGAGGUCAAUCAUUGCCCGGCUGCCCGGGAAAUCAAUUUCAAAUUUCAAAGUAGUAAAAAAGGAUCAACGGUCGUCUAAUAACGUUAAAAUAACCGCAACGGAAAAAUAGAAUCCGAUUCUUAUUACCUUAAACCACAAAUAUUCUCUCUUCUCUUCUUCUUCUUCUUCUUCCCCAAAUUUGAAAUCUCUUCGCAUCUUCAUACUCGUUUCUCUCUAUUCUUCUUUUUGCCUUGCGAAUUUUUCUGUGAAUGGAGGAUUGUUGUGAUUCACUUCUCGCAACUGAUGCAUCUUUGCGACGUGAAAGCUUCUGUCGCUGUGAGAUUUUCGAUUUAAUCUUAUGGAAGAUUUUUGUUUGGUUCUAAUCAAGUUUGCUCACAUUUUUUUUUUUAUCAGCAGCUGAAAAGGAUACAGUAUCGAGCUCAAGGACUAUGACAAUGGUAGAUCUGGAUUCAAAUUGCGAAUUGAGUAAUGGUAAGUCAUUCGAAAAUAUUAAGAAGAGUUGUUAAUUUCUCUCUUGCUUUACUGAUUCUAGAUUUGGAUUUAGAUGUUGAUAUGGAACAAUCAAGCCCGGAUUUGAUGAAAACGGAACAAUCUAGUGAUCCCGUAGCAUUAGAUGGUAACCGAACCUUUCUUUUUCUCUUUUUUGAAAUCAAAAUCGCUUCGUUCUUUGAGAUUAAUGGCGUAGCAUUUGGUUCGAUUUCAGGAAAAGUUGUGUUAGGGUUUUCAUUAGCAUCUCCAGAUCUAGUAAAUUGUGGUGCUUCACCUGAUUUACCUAGAGGUAGCUAUGAAGAUUCUCCAGAAUUUUCUAAGAAAAGAAGAUUUUCUACUGAGCUUUCUCUAGAGAAUGGAAUUGAUGGUUCUACUACUACAAGACAUGGCCGUAAAAGCCAAGUUGUGAAGUUCUCAGCAAUCUGUCAAACAUUUGGCUAUGAGUUGUCUCCUGAGUCUUCUUUUGAGUUACCUUCUCCACCUGUGAACUUUCGGGAGAGUACGACUCCUGUUAUAAGUAUUAACUCGGGUUCUACAAGCACGGAUGUGACUGUGGAUGAUGUAACUUUCUUGAAGGAUGCGUUUUUCAGUGGAGGUGAAAGUAUUACAACUGAUGCUGUUGUUGGCAAUGAAGAUGAGCUUUUGUUGUAUCAAACCGCUCGACUUGGUAAUUUCGCUUACAAGUUUCAGUCAUUGGAUCCUGGGGACUACUUCAUCGAUUUGCAUUUUGCUGAAAUUGAGUUCACUAAGGGUCCACCAGGAGUUAGAGUUUUUGAUAUAUUCAUUCAAGGAGCAAAGGCAAGGCAUCACUGCAAUUAAGCUUUUAUUGUCUUCUUAUUCAUCACAUAUUAUUUAUGGUUUGAUUGAAAAACCAUUUGCAGCAGGUCAUAUCCGGCCUAGAUUUGUUUUCGCAAGUAGGAGCAAAUACACCUCUUGUGAUAGAGGAUCUAAGGAUGCUCGUAGGCCGGGAAGGAGAGUUAUCUAUACGAUUAGAAGGCGUGACAGGAACCGCAAUUCUAUGUGGCAUUUCUAUUAGGAAAGAGGCAACGGCUACUUGUAUGUUGCUUUCUAACCUUUUUGUGUCCUGGACAAUUCUACUAAACUUUUUCACAACUCUGAUCACUGAUUUUUUCUUUUAGAUGUUGAAGAAACUGGAAUGCUAGCGGUUAAAGGUUCAACUGACUCUGUCUUGUCCCAGCAAACUCAAGUGAGGGAUCUUCCACAAGCUUGAUGUUUCUAGUUGAAUUUGGGGUGGUUACAAAAGUUGUAAAUAGUUAAACUGUCAUACUGUUUUUAGGAAAAUGUUGACUGCAGGACAGAAGAAGAGACCGAAGGGACGAGAAGUGACUGUGGGCAGCAGAGGAAAGAGAUGGAGGAUAUGAAGAAAAUGGUUGAGGAACUUAAACAGGAGAACCAACGAAAGACUAGAGAAUGCGAAGAAGCAUUGACUUCUCUCCGUGAGAUUCAAAAUGAACUAAUGCGCAAGUCGAUGCAUGUUGGUUCUUUGGGUAUGUACAUCUCUCUCCUCUAUAUUUCGUCUUCCUGCAAUCGUUAAAGUUGACAUAUAUGUACUUGUUCUUAACUAGCGUUUGCUGUCGAGGGACAAGUCAAAGAGAAGAGCAGAUGGUUCUCUUCAUUAAGAGAUUUGACAAGAAAAUUGAAGGUAUACAGAAGCAAACUUAAAAUACGACCAGCAACUGCAAACUCUUAUGCCUCAGUUUAACGAAUUUGGAUUUGUAGAUCAUGAAAAUGGAGCAAAUUAAGCUGUUGGAGGAGGCAACAACAUACAAACACCUAGUCCAAGAUAUCAAUGAGUUCAGUUCUCACAUCCAGUCUAGGGGUGAGUCUUUGUCUUCCUGUCAUUUGGAUAUGCAACUAGCACUUUUAAAGAUUUAGUAAUAUUGUGUGUCUGUGAUUUUGAUCCGUUAAAAUUUGUUUUCAACAGUGAAGCAGGACGCAGAAUUGCAUGAAAAUCUCAAAGUCAAAUUUGUUGCAGGAGAAAAAGAGAGGAAAGAACUAUAUAACAAGAUACUAGAACUAAAAGGUUUGUGUCUAUAUCCAAUAUAACUUGUAGAUUGACAUCCUUGACUAAAAUUAGCAGCCUAACAACUUACAGUGAUCAUUUUUUCGUACAGGUAACAUCAGGGUCUUUUGCAGGUGUCGACCUCUAAACUUUGAAGAAAUUGAAGCAGGAGUAUCAAUGGGAAUUGAUGUUGAGUCAACCAAAAAUGGGGAGGUCAUAGUCAUGUCAAAUGGUUUUCCCAAAAAAAGUUUCAAGUUUGAUUCUGUUUUUGGUCCUAAUGCUUCCCAAGGUGAUUGAUGGCAUCAAUGAUCACCCUUUGUCCCUGUCCUACUUGCCUUCUAGGAAAUCUCAAGUUGUUUCCUAUACUUUUACAGCUGAUGUUUUUGAAGAUACUGCUCCCUUUGCUAUGUCAGUCAUUGAUGGAUACAACGUUUGCAUCUUCGCCUAUGGCCAGACUGGUACUGGGAAAACUUUUACCAUGGAGGGAACUCAACAUGACCGUGGUGUAAACUAUAGAACACUGGAAAAUCUGUUUCGAAUAAUUAAAGAACGAGAACACCGCUACAAUUAUGAGAUCUCGGUCAGUGUCCUGGAAGUUUACAACGAACAGAUAAGAGAUUUGUUGGUUCCAGCUUCACAAAGUGCAUCUGCACCCAAAAGGUACUACAUAAGUUUUGUAUACCUUUCUCCUUGAUGUGCUCUUUCAUGGAGUUAAGCAUGCAAGGUCCAUUGUUCUUUAGUCUCAUUGUUUAUAGCUUGGUGUUUCAGUAAGGACUGUAAUAAGUAACUACUUGUUAUAGGAAAAUUGGUUUCUGAUAUCACUAACAGUAGCUCAUACUCGUUUCUUUGCAGAUUUGAGAUAAGGCAAGUGAGUGAAGGAAACCACCACGUACCAGGAUUGGUUGAAGCACCUGUGAAAAGCAUAGAAGAGGUUUGGGAUGUGUUGAAAACAGGAAGUAAUGCAAGGGCUGUUGGGAAAACGACGGCUAAUGAGCACAGCAGCAGAUCUCACUGGUCUGCUUAACGAUCUGUAGUAGUCUCCUUUUGCAGAAAAUGAACAGCUAACUGAAUGUAUUUUCUCUUCUUUUCUUUGCACAGCAUUCACUGCGUGAUGGUCAAAGGUGAGAAUUUGUUGAAUGGAGAAUGCACAAAGAGCAAACUAUGGUUAGUUGACUUAGCUGGAAGCGAACGGGUUGCAAAGACAGAAGUUCAAGGAGAACGGCUCAAGGAGACUCAAAACAUCAACAAAUCAUUAUCUGCUCUUGGUGAUGUCAUAUUCGCUCUUGCCAACAAAAGCUCUCACAUUCCUUUCAGGUCGAUAUGAUACAUCUAUUUUCAUUUAAAGAAGGUUACAGUCACCAUUUUUCAUCUAACUUGAUGUUUGGCUUGCAUUACUGAUAAGAUCAAAUACCUUUGCAGAAAUUCAAAACUGACGCACUUGCUUCAGGAUUCUCUGGGUACUUAAUUUUCUUCUCGAAGCUGCAACCACGUUCACUUGUAAAUUCUGUUUAUCUGUUAUGGAGCUUAAGAUUAAAAAUGACUGGUAUAUGACAGGAGGAGAUUCAAAGACCCUCAUGUUUGUACAAAUCAGUCCUAACGAGAAUGAUCAAAGCGAAACACUAUGCUCACUGAAUUUUGCUAGCAGAGUGAGAGGGAUAGAGUUGGGGCCUGCAAAGAAGCAGCUAGACAAUACUGAACUCUUGAAAUACAAGCAAAUGGUAAGCUAAAUGUCCACAUGUGUUUAUCGAAUCAUUCAUGUAUUGUUCUGAGCUGUAUUAAUUCUAUAUCAGGUUGAGAAAUGGAAGCAAGAUAUGAAAGGAAAAGACGAACAAAUUAGAAAAAUGGAGGAAAUGAUGUACGGCUUAGAAGCAAAGAUUAAGGAACGAGACACUAAGAACAAAACCCUUCAAGACAAGGUAAACAAAUACUCACCACAACCACAAGAACAACAUGGAUUAUAACAUUUUAGCUUGUUGAAACCAUCACAUAUCACUUUCUUUGUUAGGUUAAAGAACUUGAAUCGCAACUAUUGGUAGAGAGGAAGCUGGCUCGUCAACAUGUAGACACCAAGAUUGCUGAACAGCAGACAAAACAGCAGGCCGGAGAUGAAAACAACCCGUCAAAGAGGCUGCCACUGACAAGCAUACUGUUGGGAUCAGGUUCGAAAGAAAUGGUAAAUCUAACACGCCCACCACUCUUGGAGAGCACCCCCAGCAUUAAUCUAGCUCCUUUACCUAGUGGUGGCCUCAAGUAUAAUGACCUCUCUGAGAAGGAGAACAAUCCAGAAAUGGCUGAUCAAGUGCAAAUACCUAAUAGAACAGGAAGAUUCUCUAUCUGUGCAAAACGUAUUCCAUCAGCUCCAGCUCCAAGAAGGAGUUCUCUUGCCCCAACCACAUCAACUUCGAGAGAAAUGGUGAAUCUAACCCGACCACCACUUGUAGAGAGCACCACCAGCUAUGAUCUACCUCCUUUACCCAAUGGUGGUGGUCUCAAGUACAAUGACCUCAUUGAGAAGGUGAACAAUCCAGAAAUGGCUGAGCAAGUGCAAAUACCUAAGAGAACUGGAAGAUCUUCUAUCUGCGCAAAACGCAUUCCACCAGCUCCAAGAAGGAAGACUCUUGCCCCAAUGCCAUUCAUCCCAAUCACAUCACCAUCAAAUUCUUCAUCUUCAUUAAUGCCACCAUGCCAAGCAAUUACAAACUCGCCUGAUGAAAAGAGUGGCGCUAACCAAGUGCUCUGCACCAGCCCCAAGCUACACAGAAGUAAUGGGAAGACGUUGACCAGCAUACUGAGACGAAGCAUACAAAAGAGAAUGCAAAAGAAAUCUUCCCCGAGGCAGCAACCGAUGAGAAGAGGUGGUGGCAUUAAUGUCGGGAUGGAGAGAGUUAGACUGUCUAUAGGAAACAGAGGAAAGUUAGCUCAUAGAGUUCUGCUAACCAAUGCUCGUAAGGCAGGUCUGAAGGAGACACCGCAGAAACAAGAGCGAUGGAUCUGAACCGAUUAAAACUGAUGUUUUCUCUGACUUAACUUCUCAAUAUUCAUUAUGAUUUCUUGGAGGACGAUUGAUAUUUUAUCAUCCUCUGGUUUCGAGUGCGUUUGUGGAUUUGGUUUGACCCUAUUGUAUAGAUGGUUUUGGCUUUUGUGCACUCCUUCUGUUUCUUUUGUUUUCAUUAAAAAAAGUUCCAAGAACCAUUUAUUAACCCCAUUCACCCAUUCCUCCUGUGAAUCAUCAACAAUUUCCUACAACAAACUUCAUUUGAAUUUUUUUCAGGUAUUCAAACUUCAUCUGACCAGGUAUUGAAGUGAAUGUCCCUGCUAAACCUUUUUCUGGGUAUUGAUUUUGCUUUCCUCUUUUUUGUCAUGUACAUUAAUCAAAAUCCUUACUUUUGUUUAGACAGCGAUGAUUGAUUUUAGGGUCCAAGAAACCAGUAACCAUCAACAUUACAUUAUCUAGUUCACCUUCUAAGCCGUAAACUGCAUAUCAAAACAGAUGUGCACAAAAGAAAAAAAAUACAGCAGAAUCCCACAAUUUACAACAUGAGGCUAAAACAAACAAGGCUUUCAAUUUCAUCUUAGUGAACUCACUCGGCUAAGGUUCUCCGCGAUAGCAUCUCUGAUCCUCCUCGACUCUAUAUAUGCUUCUCCUUCGAAUCUCCGAGUCUUCUCAUCACCAUCAUCUUUCCUCGUCUCACCAUUAUCACCAGCAGCACAACCAUUCACACAUUCCUCCAGUGAAUCAUCAUCAUCUCCAGAAUCCACAAGAAAAUUAUGCAACAAGCAACCCGUAGUUAGAACAAACGGCAUAAACUCGAUUGUCUCUGGUUUCCAUUUCUUAUCAAGAAUCCGCCACCGAGCUCGAACCUUAGCAAAGGCAAUCUCAACACUAAGCAAUCCAGUGUGAACCACAUUGUUAAAUUCUUCUCUAAAAGUCUCCUCUUCCUCCUCGUUUGAAGUCAAAUCAUAAGGUGUCACAAGCCAUGGCAAUAAAGGAAGACAAGAAUCUCCCAAAAUGUAACGAGGAACCAAUACUCCAUUCCCAAGUUUGGUCGGAGCUUCAUUGAGAACUUCCUCUGCAAUUGAGAAAAGCUUCGUCUGUCUGAAAAUAGCUUCUGGUUUCAUCGUACUUGGCCAACCAGCUGAGAUAUCAACAAAUCUGCCAUCGGAAUCAACCAAUGCUUGAACCAAAAUUGACCCUUUUGCACCAAGAAGCUUUCCGUUAACCUCAAACCUCCCGAAUCCGACAACACCGCAGCAAUUCGGGAGCAGAUUAGGCGAAAAAUCGGGGUUUGGAGCAUCAAGUUGUUGACUUAAUUUCUCAUUGAUGAGUUUGCAGACAGUGAAGAAAGAGUGUGAAGCUUGGGAAGUGGAAUCAAACCCGAAUCUGUGAACGAGACACUCGUAAGAAGCACCGUGAGCGAGACGGAAGAUUGCGGCAGCGAAGGAAGGAAGCGAGGAAGGGGAGAGGAUAGAGAAGAGAUUGAAGAAGGUGGAUUUCGACAUCCGGAAACAAAGACACCAGCGAGGAUCAUCGUCGUCUUCUGUAGCGGAGGUUAAGAAGCGGUUGAACCACGUGGCGGUGGUGACGGCGGAGGAAGGAGAGGGGGAAGGUGGGAUUGGGAGAGAUGAGAUUAGGGAUUCAAGGCGGAGAGAUUGUGAUGGUGAGAGGAAGAGAUCGUUGGCUUGGAGAAAGGAGUGAGUGAGGGCAGCGGCGGAAGAGAGACGGCGCAGUAAUGGGUCUUUAAGACCAAGUUUGUCGGAUACAUUUGUUGGGUUUCUGUCGGAUUUUCGUUUUCCGUCGACCAUAUCUUUCUCCGAGUAGUGAGAUUGGGAGGAUCAAUAAGUUUGGAAAGCCAGCAGCAAUUUUAACUUCAGUGCUUAAGAAGAAGUAAUAAAAAUAAAAAUAAACUCCACUAUUUUAUAAAACCAAACCGUAUAAUUUUAUUUAAUUAUAAAAUCUAAACUCUAAGUACUCUUUUAUAAACUCAAACCGACAUAUAAUUUUAUUUAAUUGUAAAAUCCAAACCCUAAACCUCAUCUAUAAACCCAAAUCGACAUAGAAUUUUGUUUAAUUGUAAAAUCUAAACCCUAAUCACUCUUUUAUAAACCCAAACCGACAUAUAAUUAAUUUCGUUUAAUUGUACAAUCUAAAUCCUAAUCCACAUUUGUAAACCCAAACCAACAUAUAAUUGUAUCCUCUUAUUAUUAAAAGGGAAGUACAAAUUGAAAAAUAGUCUAAAUUGUCAUCAAUUUCAAUUUCAAUUUUGGGAUUAACAAAGGCUUAAUCAAAAUCGACAAAAGUAAAUUAGUCUAAAAUUUUCAUUAAAACUUUAGGAUCCGCGUGUUUAUAAAAUGGGUUUAGAGUGAAUCAAAUGUACCCAAAUCCUUAAACAAAUCAAUAAUCGGGUUUUAACAUCUUCACAAAACAGAGAUGCAAUACUAACUAACCAUUCAACAUAUUUGGUAUAUAAUUUAAGGCAUAUUCAAUCGCAAUUAUGAAAUAUAUUUUCUAAAUCUCGACUAAUUGCUAAACAAAUUUCAAAAAAAAAUAUGAUCUAAUCUAAUCCUAACCAUAAACUACUAUUCAAUAUCCUAAUUUCCCCUAAAUUCGUGAAUCAUUAAUAAUGUUAACAAUCAAGAAGAUAUUCAAGUUAAUAUAUAUAUCCUAUAGUUUUGGCUUUGGCUUCAAGAUUUUCAAAAAUUUAUGAGCCAAAAACCUUAUCAUUCCUUUUUACUAUAAAUAUCAAACGUCUCUAUCAAUUCUUACUCAUCCAGCAACAAACGAUUAAUACCUCUUUUUUUCCAAGCCACAAACCACCGCGGGUUAAAUCCUCUCUGCAACAAAUCAGGAUCGUCACCCUGCAAAGUUCACAUCUGAUCAGCAUCUCAAAUCAGCAUUCAACAACAUGUAACACUUUCAAAUGAUUCAUGAGGGCUUUCUUGAUACUAAUAAGACAUUUAGGGUUAUUUUCAUAAUAUUGUAAUAGUUUGAAGGUUGCUUUGGAAAGUCACCUGAGAGACAUGGAGGAUGAGAGCGUGCGUAGUGAGACGCGAUGGCGUGUGGAUCCCAAACGAGCUUGCCACAACCAACGACAAGCGAAUCUCGGGAGACGUAAGCCAAUCUAAAUUGAAGCUACAUGUGACCACCGCCGCGAAUGCACCGUCCAUGUGAAGACACGUCCGCGAAUGCACCGUCCAUGUGAAGACACUUUUCUUUUCUCUUAUUUAUUUUGUGAAUUGUAUGAUGAACAAAUUUUUGAUAUUUAUAUUUCGACACCAUGUUUUACCUUGGAAUUUAGUUCAUAUAAUAUAGCAGAAGCUUGAAAUUUUCUUUAACAAGAAUUCAUAUUGUUAGUUUUUAAGUCUUAAAACUGUUGCUAAGUUAUAUCUGUCGUCACGAUCUGAGCUUAUUAUAAAGACCAUUCCGUUCAAAGCAAAAAAAAAAAUAUGUAGCAAGUGUGGAAUAAUACAUAAUAGUUUGAUCAUUUUUUAAUAAAUCUUAAAUAUCAUCUCUUAUAUUAUAUGUAGGAUGUACUUUGACAGUUUUUUUAAAGCCCGACAAAAAUUGUAGGUUUUAAAUCAUUUUGGAUAUGUUUUACAAAUUCUGUACAAAGGCUAACUAAUUGGAUUUGUCUUUCUUACUCCUUUUUCUUUUCUUUCCUAGAACAUGUGAGAACUAGAAAAGGAUAAACUCCUCAUUUUGUAGUAGAUGAUUAGCAUAUAGAUAGUGAGGCGAUUCUCUGAUUAGUUUGUUAUGAAGGCUCGUCGUGUGAACUUACAUCCUCAAUAGUUUUUUUUUUCUGAGGUUCGAGUACUUCCUGGGAGGUGUUUGUGGAUCAUUCCAGGGGAUGGAAACAUGAUUCACAUCACCCGAAUCUCGAUAGAUCCCAAAAGAAAAGGAGAUGAUGGUCUGACAAGUUUAUCUAGUAAAAGUCCACGAAGAGAGCGAGACCGUGAUCACCACUCUCUCCCAUGACACCAUGUCUAUGGACGCCGACAUAUACCGCUACAGAAGCCAUUCAUUGCAGUUAACGAUUGAUAACGGCAUGUCUAUUUUGGUCUGGUCAACAAAUUCCUAUGUCUCAAACGUUAGUCAACGUUUAAUUCAUGUUUUAAAUGCUCACAUAUGAAGUUGAUGUUUAAAAUGGCCAUAAUUUAAAAGUUUUUUUUUUUUUUUUUUAUAAUUGAUAGCCCAUCAGGCCUAAUUGGCUAAACAGCCCAAACACACAAUAAAUAGAACCAAGAUUGAAUCAAAGAAGCCCAAGUUAAUUAGCCCAUGAAGAAAAUGAAGUACCCAAAUUGAUCAAUCGGAAAUCACGAGGAGUAAGAGAGGAGACGAAGCGAUGAAACAGAGAAUGAUGAGAGAUGAUCUGAGAUUUUUAGGAGAGCCAAAUUUGAAGCAUCUGAGAAGCUUGGCGAGGGUUUGUGAGGCAGAUACUAGCUAUUCUGUUCCGGAUUAUUAGAUCUGCAUCUCGAAUCAAAGUAUCAAUUGAUUUGAAAGCGUUCCGAUGGAGACGAUUGUUACGCUCCGACCAAAUGCAAUAAAUCGAAGCUUGCCAUGCAAUUAGCAGAAGUUUUCGUCUUGGCUUUGAGACAGAGUAUGAGCUUAGCUGGGUGAGAAGUGUAUCCCAACUUCGAGAGGAUAGGUAGUUGCACUUGCUGGAGAGAAAAUCCCAAAUUGCACCUGAGAAGCUACAAUCGAAGAACAAAUGAGAGCGAGAUUCUGGACUAGCACUACAGAGAAGGCACGACGGAUCAGAGAAAGCGUUUCGAGAGGAUAGGUAGUGCCUCUUAACAAUCGUCUACAUCGGAAGACCAGUUGCUUGACCAGAAGUAGUGCCUUCUUGUGAAAGGUAAUCUCUGUAGUGCCUUCUUGUGAAAGGUAAUCUCUGAUUUUUCCAAGUGGAGACCAGUUGCUUGACCAGAAGUAGCAGUUCUCCCCCUUACCUACAGACUGUUUGAUCCAUGGGUAAGCUAAGUCUCGUAAUUGUAACAACUGGUUAGCUAGCCAAGAGAAUUUCUGUUUUGUAUUAAUAACCCAGAAGUUAUUAAUGUUUCCAUCUAACACCUCUGUAGUAUACCAGUGAGCCCAAACAGAACCAGGUAGUGCCUUCUUGUGAAAGGUAAUCUCUGAUUUUUCCAAGUGGAGACCAGUUGCUUGACCAGAAGUAGCAGUUCUCCCCCUUACCUACAGACUGUUUGAUCCAUGGGUAAGCUAAGUCUCGUAAUUGUAACAACUGGUUAGCUAGCCAAGAGAAUUUCUGUUUUGUAUUAAUAACCCAGAAGUUAUUAAUGUUUCCAUCUAACACCUCUGUAGUAUACCAGUGAGCCCAAACAGAACCAGGCCUGAAGAACAACAACCAAAUCAGCUUUAGUGCAGAAGUAGUAUUCCAGCUGGAAAUGUCCUUCAACCCAAGACCCCCUUCUUCCUUGCUACGACACACAUUCUCCCAAGAAACUUUAGCAGAGGUAAGCCCUUCAGUUUUACCCUUCCAAAGGAAUUUAGCAGAGAUGGAGUUAAUUUCCGAAAUGCAUCCUUUAGGGAGAAUGAAAGCAUUUGACUAGAAGUUAAUAAUCCCAGCAAUGACUGUUGAAAGCAGUUGCAACCUUCCUGCAAAAGAUAAAGACCUGACUGUCCAAGAGUGAAGUUUGGAUUUUAUAGACUGAAUAAGAGAAACACACUGCAGCAAGGAGAUUUUCUUCGUGCAGAGGGGAACGCCAAGGUAUCUGAUCGGGAGUGAACCAAUUGAGAGAUUCAUUGCUUGUUUGAUUAGCUCUAACUCAUGGGGCUUUAAACCUGCAGAGAACAGAGACGUCUUUUCGAUGUUAACAGCAAGUCCAGAUCUGUUUUCAAAAUCCUUCAACACUUCCAAGAUAUUUGUUAUGGAGUUAAGGGAGCCAUCGGAGAAGAUUAGCAGAUCAUCGGCAAAACAGAGGUGCGUAAGCCUUGUCUUUUUGCAUUUAGGGUGGUAGUUGAAUCUUCCUUCCACAGCAGCUCUAUUAAGAGCUAGUGACAAACAAUUCAUGGAGAGGACAAAAAGAUAAGGAGAAAGAGGGUCACCUUGCCUGAGCCCUCUUUUUUUUUUGAAAUAACCAUGAGUAGUGCCAUUAAACGAGACAGAGAAAGAUGUUGUACAGAUGCAAGCUUCUAGCCAUCUUAAAAAAGUUUCAGGAAUAUGGAGACUCCGUAGGCAUUGGAAUAUGAAUUCCCACCUAAUAGUAUCAAAAGCUUUAGCAAUAUCAACCUUUAAAGUUAUUCUCUUUGGUCCUCCAUUCUUAUGAUAGCCUUGUACAAUUUCUGAGGCCAAUAGGGUAUUCUCAAUAAGUAGUCUGCCUUGAACAAAAGCUGUUUGGUUAGGGAGGAUAACGACGGGGAGAAUGACCUUUAAUCUUUUCACAAGCAGCUUUGAAAUUGAUUUAUAGGUAGUAUUGCAGCAGGAAAUUGGCCUAUAAUCAGAAAUAGAAGUAGCUUCUGGUUUUUUAGGGACUAACGUCAGAAUUGUUGCAUUUGUGGCAGUUGGGAGGAACCCUGAAGAGAAGAAUCUUUGAAUGGCUGAAAGCACCUCAUGACCAACUAUUGGCCAAGCAGCUUUGAAGAACGAAGAAGUAAACCCAUCAGGCCCAGGAGACUUGUUGGGGUUCAGCUUGAGUAGAGUCCUUGUGAUUUCAGCAGUUGUAGGAAAGGAGGAUAAGACUGAUUUAUGGUGCUCACAACAGUUAAAGCUUUGAAGCUCCAAAAACCAGGAGAAAGGAGAACUGAUAUGCAUCAAAUAUUGAGGGGCAAGAAACUGCUGGAAAUGAGAGACCGCAAUAUCACUCAUUUCCUCCGGGUCAGAAGUAGAUGAACCAUUAUCCAAGCAUAAAGAUCUGAUGGAGUUGUAGGAUGCUCUAGCCAUGGCAACUCUGUAGAAGAAAGUAGUGUUCUGGUCCCCUAGGUGUAACCAAUUGAUUCUGGACUUCUGUUUGAAAAAAGACUCCUCAAUUCCUCUGAGGAAUAACCAUUUAGAAUGGAGGUCCCUUUCAGCUUGGAAAAUGUCUGAGGAUGGAUUAUCUAUAGCUUGAACCUGCAUAACUUUUAACAAACUGUUAGUAACACUCACUCUCCUCUGAAUAUCUGAAAAGCUCUCUUUGUUUAGUGAUUUUAGUACUCUUUUAGAAUUUUCAAUUUGAACCCCAACAGUUGGGGGAUUAAAUGAUAUUUUUCCCGAUCAAUUUUAGCUUCAGUGCUUAAGAAGAAGUAAAAAAAAAUAUGUUUUUGUCAUCUCUGCUGGAAUCUUCUUAGGAUCGGUUCAAGUCGGAAUUUUGGGUUGUUCCGGUUUGGAAGAUUUUAACGAUUAAAAUUUAAAACCGAACAAAACCUUGAUUUUUUAAGUUUUUCGGUACAUUUCGAGUAAUAGUAAGGCUACAAACAGAGUUAACCAAACCUCGGUUCAGUCCGGUUCUGAUUUCAUGCCAUGCCCAAGUUUUACUAUUGAAAGGCUGGUUUCAAAUGCCCAACAAUUUGGAGAGAAGAAACAAGAGUAUUGAAGUUUUAAUGUGCAAGACAACCAAAAGCUUUGUUUCAUGAAUAUAUCAAUGAAUGUAAGAGUUUGAAUUAACCUUUGGUCACGCUUUUGUAUCAGUAUGGAUUAGUUACCUCAAGAAUCUAUAUUUCUUUAUCUGUUUUACAAAAAAAUCUUUUGUAUGAGUUCUCUAUAAUGAUUUUUUUUCCUUCAGUCGUUACAACAAUGACUUAUCCAUCCUAGGCUUUUAUAGAUUGACCAUGAAUGCCUAAUAGCUGGACAGUUCGUUGUGUAACUCACCAGAAGGAGACAGCUAAAUCCCAUAUUCUUCUUAAUCUUCCGGGUUUAGCUGAUACUUUAGCUAUCUGAUCCUCCAUUAGCCGCUCUACGUCAGGUCCCAUAUCGUGGACCAUUUUAACCGACUCAGAGAGACGGUUGAGUAAAUUCACCAGCGCAAUCACCUCAUUCCGUUGCAGUUGCAGCUGAAAAACAUAAGAAUAAUCUCAGGUCAGUGACAUCUCAAUACAAAACGAUGCAUAUAGAUGUUUGAGAAACUCACUGUUUGGUCACCAAUGUCUUGAUUUCCAACAGAGAAGAGAAUUUUCAAUGCUGUCCCAAGACCCUGAACCUGAAGUUUCCCCCAAAGCCGGCAUUUUUCACAACCUACGCAAUCCAUUAGUGCACUGCAACACAUACAUUACUAAGUUGUAUUACUAUUACCACUCUCUCAGCAUUUGCCAGAAGAACAUAUUCAUUUUCACGAAAAAUCGAGACGAACCUUAUAUUUCUGAAUUGUUUCUGGAUUUGCUGUUUCAAUUCUGGUCCACUUUGACCUUGCCACAACUUAGCUUCAUCAAACGGAACAGGACAUGCUGUUUGAAGUUUUGGACUAUACAAUAACUGUUUGAUCAAGGACUGUGUUUUCAGAUCUUCAGCAUGGUUUCCUGUGUCAUACUCUGCCUGCUCCAAGUAUGCUGUUGCCUAAAUAACACAUUGUAAGAGUCAGUCCUAAAGACUGAUAGAUUGAUUAGACAUGUCAAAAUUUUCCCAAAAGACUAACUUGCAGAGAAGUUACUCACUUUAGUUACAGCACGUAGCACAAAGAGAUACGUGAAGUACAUAUUUCUGACACGAUCCGGAUGUCUCAGGAUUCUAUCAUACAUCAGCUCGAUAUUCUGUCCCCACUGUAUUUCAAAAGAAAUUACAUGUCAGCCAUGACCAUUAUUUAUUCAUGCAUUCAUGCUGAGAGAUUUGUCUAUCUUUUGCUCAGAUUUACAAACCUGGUUGCUUGACUCAUCAAGAAGAUAAUCAGAAGCUAUGUGCAUCGAGAUUGAAGAAUGAAGACCGGAUAUCAAUUUGUACAAUACCUUUUUCUCCGGACAUGUCUCCCCAGAUGAAUCUACAGAAACCAUUUGCAUUUCAACAUACAACAUAAUACAAGCCUAUGUCCACAAUAUGGUAGAGAAGGAAAAACUCACAUUUUGGACAGUUUUCCGAAUAUAUGGAGUCCCAAAUCCUUCUAGCCGACGGUCCAGUAUAACCAGUAUAUCGUUCGGGGUUUAACUGAAGAUUGACAUAAGUCAUCUCACCUGUAGAUAAGUGUCACUUCAAAUAAUUAAAUGCUCAUUCACUAUAGCAUAUAUCCAAAGAAGAACUCCCUAGAGCAGUUUUUGGUAACUACAUACCGCUAUCUGUGUCAUCAUCAUGCGUCCAUGGAUUCUUGGUUUCGACCCAACCUCUGAAUGCUCUGUUAUCUAUAGUACGGUCAACAGCUCCCUGAGGUUUUCCCUCUUGACACAUGAGAUCAUCAGAAGGAAGACCUGGGACAAAUGGCUUUUUAAAUGGUUCAGGAAACUCAUUCUCUGGACAUUCACAGACGCUGCAAUCACGCAAACGACACAUUCCAUCGUCUGGCCAGAAUGGGCAGUCACACCACAGUUUCACCUACCCCCAUAUACAAAAACACAUCCAGCCAAAAGUCACUAACUUACUACACGACUGAACACAAUUUCAUAGUUUUUCUACAUAAUUGGAUUCUAAAGCAUCUCACUGACCUUAUAGUACCGGAAAAAUGGGGUUGUGACGAGAUCUUGAAGCAAAGGAUUCAAAACCUCACUGUUGAGAUUGUCCACUGUUUCAUAAUCACAGCAACAGUCCUCAACCAUACCUUUGUAUUUACCUGUUCCCUGUAUAUCCAAAUGGAAAAUCAAAAAGACAAAAAUCAAAUAUGAUAAGUCCACUGAACCACUGGCACAUUUCAGGGACAACGAUUCAAAGCUUUGGCUCAACAGAGCCAUCAAAAGUUGUCAUUUUUUACCACCCUGAAUCCAUUAGCUAAACAAUGUGAUCAAAAGAUUCAAUUUUUAUUACCAUUGGCUACAUAAAUACUGUGAUCAAAAGUAUCAAUUUUUAUUAUCCUGAAUCCAUCACAUGACAAAUAUCCACCAAUACCCAACAAACUUCAUCCAGAAAUACAAACAAAAGACAAAAAUGUACUUGAGAGUCUUAAAGUCAAAUUCUUUCAUCUAUGAUCAAAGCAACAGAUUGAGAAUUUAAGAGAGUAAAAUCCAAAAACCUGAAGUAAACAGCUACAAGAAUUUCGAUCGCUGAAGAAGAAACCGACAUUAGAAUUCGUCCUAGAGCUCACAGCAACUGCCAAAAACACAACAACCAAAGUCGCUAAAGGCCAUCGCCAUGUUUUUCUCUUUUUUUCGCUCUCUUCUUCUUUGAUUCCGCCUCUUCCCAUUAUAGAAAACCCAAAAACAAUAAAAAUCAAAUGAGACAAAUAAAUCCUUUUACAAAAAAGAGAAAGAAAAACACGUUUUUUGUGUCUUCCGGAAAUUCUCAAAACCCCAUUGUUGUGUUUUGUGUCUGAAGAUCGUCUUAAGCAAGCAAUGAAUGUUAUGUAAUGCGUUAGUUUCAAUGCGGUAUUUUUGACAUUUCAGCGCGACGUGGGUUUUGAAUACCACGCGCUUUUUCUAGUCGGCGCGUGUUGGAACCAUUUGUUUUCGUCUCGUGACGUGCUUUAACCAAUAGGAUCCAUUUGUUCUCGUAGUAAUGAACAUGUUGCCUUUUCAACGCUUCCCAGUCAACGACCAUUCGUUUGACUAAACGCCUCUCUACUCUACGGUGUCGUUUAUUGAUCUAAUUAUAUUUAUUUUAAUUGGGCCUGUGGGCUAGACUAUAACUCCGUCUGCUACGGGCCGGGUUAGGCUUAUGGAGUCGGGUAGGGGACAAUUAGCUUUUAAUUUAUUUUAGGGUUAAGUGUAGCCCAAAAUUUCGAUUUGUGCCCUUAGAGCAUCUCCAAAGGGAGAUUCUCUCAAAAAAUUUGAUGAGUUCUCUUGUCUAAUUGGCAAAAAAAUAAAUCAAAACUGAUAUUAAAGCAGAGAGUCGACUCUCUGAAGAGAGGUUUGAGCAAUUGAGAGAACCGUACACGUGGCAUACUCUAAUUGGACCAUCUUUUUUAACAAAAAAAAAAAAAAAAUUCCGUGUUUUCCAUCGGCAAAAAAAAAAAACCCGAGUGUCUCUCUCCCGCGAAGGCGAUCGAUUGACGCUGGAUUAAUGGUUUUCGAUGAGUCGACGCCGUCUCCCCAAAAUUUCUCACUUCCCCUCAUUUCGCUUCGAAGUCAAAAGCCCUAAUUCGAAAAUCCCCUAUUCUUAAGGUACGGAUCCGAUCUCUCUUGCUCAUACUUCGACAAUGUUUUUUUUUGCUCUUUUGAUCGUCGAUUUUUUUUCUUCUCGUUUUCUGCGUUUAUUUGUUGAUAUGUUGUUGAUCUUCGCGUUUGGGUCGUCACUUCAUAAUCUGUAGAAUUCAGAGUUCGUUUUGGAAGAUCUAGCAGUGUAAAUCGUCUGUAAUAGUCUCUUUUUUGGGUGCUUGGAUUGAUUUGUUAGAGAUGAUUGUUGUUGUUUCUCUUAAAUGCAAGAUUGUUGCAGCGUUAUUGAGUUUUAGUUCGUGUUCUUAUGUGUAUUGAUCACUGGUUUUGUGAAAUCUAGAUUCAAAUUUGAUAAAGUCUAUUUGUUGGCUUUGUCUUGUUUUUGAUCACUGGUUUCGCUUGGUUUCAAUUUAACAUGACUGAUUUUGAUGUCUUUUUUUUUCCAGAAAAUUAACAUGAUUGGUUUCAAUUUCAUUCUUUCUAUGGUCACUGAGCUUUUGAUGAUUUGGGGUUUGUAAAGCAUGGUUUUCGCCAAAUGAUUGAUUGUUCAUAAUCAAUGCUAUAACUGAUUAUUAGAUGCUUCUACUCAUUAAUUGCUUCAUCUAAAUGUUGUCGUAGCAAGAUCUUUGUUCUUGAAAUUUUUCUUGAAGCUAGAAUUUGGUUUCAUGAUUGUCUUGCAUUGCAUUUCUUGUCUGACUAGAUUAAUAGAAUAUAAUUGUCUCUAAUCAAUGUUUGUGCUUCUGUUCUGUGUUUGUGUUGCAUACUUCUUAAGUUUUUUUGAUCAUUGUUCCCUAAGUUCUGUAAUUGACAUGAUUAUAACUCUUUGGUCAAUAGGAUGAAGCAGGAGAUGAGAUCAAGGAGGCAGAACCAAAGGUCUUGUGCAAGUGUCAUUCUUGUUUCACUGUCUUGUCCAAACCAAAGCAUAGUUAAUUCACAUUCUUGUACUCUUUGAUUAAUAAACGAGUAAAAGAAAACAUGUGCAACCAAGAGUUGUUUCUUUUUGUGAAUAUGUAUUGUAAAACCAUGUAUUGUUUUUACCAAAAAAAAAACCAUGUAUUGUUUUACAAAAUUUGAAUUUUUUCUUAGAGAACCCCAUUAGUAGUUUUAACCAUUGGAGGUCACAAAACUUAAGAGUUCCUAUGCAAGUUUUAAGUUUGAAAAAGCUAAAAUUUAUUCUUAUAAAAUGCAGAGAACCCAUGAUGGAGUUGUAACCAUUGGAGAUGCUCUUAGCUCACCCGAGCGGUUAAUGGGGACGGACUGUAAAUUCGCCCAAUUAUUUAUCCCGAAAUUUUCUACAAUAAGUCACCGUCGUUGGUGGCAGUUGAAUCCCUAACUUUUUGAGCACGUAAGAGAAAGUUUCUAAUCCUAUGUCUAUGUCUUAUAUAAAAGUAUAAUAUUUUGAAUCUUUGAUGACAUUGGUGUCCCCGUGUCAUAAACGAUUUUGAAAGAGAGGAGAGAAAACUGAUUUUCAAGAUUGAUUACUUGGAUACUUGGAUCGUUUUACACUUUCACACACACACACACAUACUUAAAGUAGUUUCUUCUACUAACUACGCACGGACACACACUUAUCCCUUAAGCUUAGCGACUACACUACUAGACCUUACCUCUAGAUACUAAACUAAUUUUGCAAGCAAAGUUAAACCAUUAUUGUACAACUCAACAACUCUACUUAGUAAUAAGCAAUAAAACACACUAACGCAUUGGGCCUCAACCAACUUAAUGGCCCAAUAUGCUUCCUUAAGUCUCUCUUCACACUGAUUAUUUCUUUCUGGUGCAGGAUUAAUCAAAGUUUCCAACUUCAACAAAUUCACUGAGACAAGUUUUACUCAGCAGGCCAUUUCUUCCUCUUCUUGACUCUGGUCGAUCGUCUUACGGUUAAUUAUUAUUACAGUGAUCUUGAAUUGUGGUCACUUAUUUGUUUUCUUGUAAAACUUGGUCGAAAUUAUUUGCUUUUAUAUUUGGUUAUUAUUUAGAAAAACAAAGUUUUUGUUUAACUUAAUAGAAAAACAAAUUGUGGUCAGAAACAGAGAUGUUGAGAGUCAUUUCGAACGUUGUUCACUCGUGACUCACCCUUAUCUCUCUGCUUGUGAAACCUUGUGUUCCUCCCAUCUAUUGAUUGUCGUUUUUAUCUGCUUUGUGUUAGUUAACAUGGACCCAUUGUGCAUGUUCCUCGUUUUUAUCGAUUACCUCAAAGUCUAAUCCCCUAGUUUCAACCCUCACCGUAGUAGAAAGUUAGUUAACCAAGGACUAGAUUGUGACGUGAGGAAAAAGCCAAUAAACAUUUAUAGCUGAUAAAUUUAGGGUUUUGCUUAACAAAAAAGGGAGUUAGGUUUUUCUCUUUUUACUGUCAUGCUCGGUUUUAACUACUGCUGAGGAUUUCUAUAAAUACCGAUCCAAAAUGUGUUAGCUCUCCACAACUCAACUCACUCAAACACUAAAACACACACAAAACAAUCACUAUGAAGAAACCUUCAGUGAUCUCUUUUCUCAUCACUCUCCUGUUGGCUGCAGCUGUCUGCAUCCACGGAGGCGAACCGGUGAACGACAAGGACGGCAAUCCAGUUAAACUCGGUGAGCUAUACUUCAUCCAGCCGGUGAAGACCAAGACUAACAACGGCGGUGGUCUUGUCCCAGCCACCACUAGUAUACUUCCACCCUAUUGUCCACUUGGUAUCACCCAAACACUCCUUCCGUACCAACCGGGGUUACCGGUUAACUUCACAUUACCAGACGCUCGAGAGGAAACCUUCGUCCAGACAUCUUUAGCAGUAAACAUCGAGUUCAAUUCCAACAUCUGGGCCUGCAAUGAGUUUUCCAAGUUUUGGAAAGUCAAUGAAACCUCAUCGGCUAGCGAGGAGCCUCUCAUUCUCAUUGGUGGUACCCCUCAGAAACCAAAUAGCUGGUUUAAGAUUGAGAUUGCCGGAGAAGGAGCAGAAGCAAACACUUACAAGUUGACCACCUCAACCGGAACCGUUGGAACUAAGCCAGGGGUUUGGUUUGGUGCACCACAAUUGGUUGUCCCCAAUGAUGCGGCUAAGCCCUUACUCAUCAAAUUCAAAAAGGUGGAAGAUGUCACUACGGCGACUACUUCUACUACUCGGGUUGAGAAGUUAGGUCUAAGGAUGUUCCCAUUCUAAUAGCCAACUGGUAAAAAUCAUGUAAUAUAAUUAAUGCCUGAGACUCGUUCAUGGCCAAAAAUAACGGGUUGAGAUAAUACCCGCUUGCAUGUUCCUAUUUUCCAUAAAUAUAAUUUAAGUAUAUGUUUUAUUAAGACUAUGAAACGGGAUUGUCAAUGAGCCUGCUAAGUGCUAACAAUAAAAAGAAUAUGACAACUUUAAGUAUUGGAGAUGGUUUGAUCCGGUUAAUUCUGGUUAACUUGGUAUUGGUUUAAUGUCGAUUAUUAAGUUGUAUAUAUAAGCUUAAGAUUACAGUUUCAUUUUUAAUAAGUUUUGUAACAAACUCUGUUUUUUGACUGUUGAAUAAAGAUUCUCUUUGACUCCGAUUCUUCUUUGCUCGUGUUCAUCUUCUCCGAUUCACCGGAGUUAAUAUGGUAUCAGAGCCUAGAUUAUAAGCACAUAUGUAUGAAUUGAAAAGAGGAGUAAGCUUAUCAUAUGAAAUAGUAGUGGUAAUAGGAUGUGGAGUGGUUCUUUUAAGUGGUAUGGAAGAAGUAGAAGAUCUGUGACAAGAUUCUGUGUUUAUCUUGGUAAUUCACUGAUUUCUUGGAAAUCAAAGAAACAGAAUGUGGUUAGUAGAAGCAGUACUGAAGCAGAGUACAGGAGUCUUGCACAGGCUACUUGUGAGCUUAUUUGGUUGCAGCAAUUAUUGAAGGACUUACAUAUCUCGGUUACUUGUCCUGCAAAGUUAUUCUGCGACAACAAAUCGGCUCUUCAUUUGGCAAUGAAUCCAGUGUUCCAUGAGCGUACCAAACAUAUAGAGAUCGAUUGUCAUACAGUGAGGGAUCAAAUUAAAGCUGGAAAACUGAAGACAUUACAUGUUCCUACUGGCAAUCAACUUGCAGAUAUUCUAACCAAGCCUCUUCAUCCAGGACCAUUCCAUGGUUUGAUCAAGAAAAUGUCUCUGUCAAGUCUAUAUCUUCCAAACCAGACACUUAGAAGAUAAAGACUUGAGGGGGGUGUAUUGGAGAUGGUUUGAUCCGGUUAAUUCUGGUUAACUUGGUAUUGGUUUAAUGUCGAUUAUUAAGUUGUAUAUAUAAGCUUAAGAUUACAGUUUCAUUUUUAACAAGUUUUGUAACAAACUCUGUUUUUUGACUGUUGAAUAAAGAUUCUCUUUGACUCCGAUUCUUCUUUGCUCGUGUUCAUCUUCUCCGAUUCACCGGAGUUAAUAUUAAGAAAAUUAACUAAGAUAUAAAUUUCAUCAGAAUGAAUAUAUCUAUCAAAUAACAUUUAUCACAAGUAACGUACAAGUAUGAAUGUAUGAUGAGUUGACUGACUAAUAUUUAUGUUCUCCCUAUGAAAAGAUAGUGAAUUUGUAAUAAUAAUCCAAGAAAACGCUGCCAUUAUUUUUACAUUCAGCCAAUAAAGCAUAUAUCCCUUUUAUAAAAAAAAAACAAAAAAACAACGUAGAAGGUUGAUUUACAAAGUACGUCUCUCUCUCUCUCUCUCUCUCUCUCUCUCUCUCUCGUAAUUAUUUUUCUGUAUAUUUCAUACAUUACUGUUUAUUACAAUAUUAAUUCUGAUAUAUCUCAUUCUGGUCCUUAAUUAGCGUCUCCCAAAAUCAAUUUUUUGUUGAGAGAGAAAGAGAAAUUGAACUUUACCAUGGUUUCUUUACGUACAAGAUGCUGCGGUGAUGAGUUUGAUAACCAUGGAUAAUAUGAUAGGACGACUGGGACCUUUUUUUUAUUGGAAGGUUAUUACUUUUGAAUUAGUCCUCCAAUUCGAUUACAAACGGAGUUGCUUUGUUGUUAAUUAAUUACAGUCAUAGUUUAUGUUUACGUAGAAAUUAAACCCUAAACAAGAGUCUAUCGCUGCAGCUGCUAAGUAAAGCAUAUCUGUAUUAACUAUAUAUAUAGGGGACAUGUGUCUUGACUCUUGAUAUUGUAUUAAGUAUAAGUUAAAUUAAUUUAUGCAGAUUGUUCUGUAAAACAAGUUUUACGCUCUUAUUUUCUUCCACUUCUUGAUUCUUGUCACUUUCUGGUUAUAAAAAGGGAUAACUAAUUUUUUUCAGAUUUACUUUAUUUUGAAUUGCCGUUAGUCAUACAUUUAUUUUCUUGUGAUAACGUGGUGGAACCAUAUAUGGUUCAUGUUUUAAUUAAAUUGCUUGAAAUGAAUAAGAAAGAAAAGUACAGACAGAUAUAUACAGAGAUUGUUAAGAAUCAUUCGCACGUUGGUUCGAUCCCUAUCUCUCUGUUUGAAAUCUUGUCUUUUACCCAAUUUGAUAUUCCUUUCAUAUAUUAGUUAACAUAUUAUAUAUGGACUAUGGUGCAUGUUCCUUGUGCUGAAAAUCGAAGUUUGAAUCAUAACCAUAGAGUCUAAAUCGUAGUAGAAAGUUAGUUAACCAAGGAUCAGAUUGUGACGUGAGGAAAAAGCCAAUAAGCAUUUAUAAUGAUAAAUUUUGAGGUUCCUAUAAAUACCGAUACAGUAUGUGUUAUUUCUCCACAACUCAAGUCACUCAAACACACACAAAAAAAAAAAAACAAUCACAAUGAAGAAUCCUUCAGUAGUCUCUUUUCUGAUCACUCUCUUGUUUGCUGCAGCUGUCUGCAUCCAAGGAAGCGAAUCUGUGAAGGACACCGCCGGAAAUUAUCUUGAACCGAGUCAACAAGUCAAAAUCAUGUAAUUAGUAAAGCUUGAGACUCCUCCAUGGCCAAAAACAUGGGUUGAUAUAAUACCCGAACGCAUAUGUUCUUAUCUUCCAUAAAGUAAAAUCUUUAACGAAGAAAAAAAAAAGUCCUUCCAUAAAUACUAUAUAGUUAUGAGCCUGCUAACAAGAAAAAAAGAAUACAAAUUUAAAAAAAGAAUAAAUCAUAAAAGAAUGGAGGGGAUGAGAUUUUGUGAUGAAAAGAAUUAUAUUAACUCCUAUAGAAAUAGAGGUAUUGGUUACAUAGUUUAAUCGUAAGACGUACAUUUUCUAUCCUUAAUGAAUCGUAAAACAUUUUCUAUCCAGAUCUUUCUCUUCAAGCGUGUCCUUGUCCUCGAUCCUAAUUGCGACAAGUAUUCACCGAGCGGGAGCCUUUAUCCUUCGAUUAUCUUCCCGUGUGGGUUUAAUGUCCCCUGCUUUAGAGUUAUGUGGUCAGUGUGUUGUGACUUUUGUGCCUGCUAACUACUUUUCUUUUUCUAAUAAAAUGAAAUUGAGAAAGAAAAAAAAUGAAUCGUAAGACAUUUUUAUCGUUAAUACUAACGGAAAUGUAUCAAGGGUUUGUAAUUGGUUACAAAAAAUUGCUAGGAAAGCUUUGAAUCUUUUGAAGAUUGAGUUCAAAAGUCUGUACGUGUUAAUUAAUUAGGAUAUAGUCUUGUAGAUUAUGCAGAGUGUUAUACUAAAACUGAAUUUCCAUUUUAGGGAGUUUCUUUAGUAUUGAACUAUUGUCACUUAUUUCUUUUCUUGUAACAAAAAAAUCGUUGUGGAAAUCAUUUUGGUUCGUGUUUCAGUAACUUGUUUUAAAUUAACAAAAUUGUGGCCAGAAAGAAACAGAGAUGUUGAAAAUCAUUCAUACGUAUAAUUCACUCAUCCCUAUCUCUCUGUUUGAAAUGUUGUCUUCUUCCCUUGAAUUAUUUGAUCGUCUUUUUUUUUUUUUUGCUAUAUAUAUAUAUAUAUAUAUGUUAGUUAACAUGGACAUUGUGCCUGUUCCUCGUGCUAACAAAUCCAAGUUUGAAUCGAUUACCAUAGAGUCUAAAGUCUAACCCCUCUUUUCAACCCUCACUGUUGUAGAAAGUUAGAAAUCAAGGACCCAUCACGAGAAUGAUUAGAAUGUGACGUGCGGAAAAAGCCAAACAUUUAUAGCUGACAAAUUUAAGGUAUUAGGUUUUACUCAACGAAGAUGGGAAUUCGUUUGUCCUCUUUUUACUAUCAUGUCCGGUUUUAACCACAGAGGACUCCUAUAAAUACCGAUACGAAAUGUGUUUGCUCUCCACACCUCAACUCACUCAAACCCUAAGAAAACACAAAACAAUCACAAUGAAAAAACCUUCAGUGGUCUCUUUUCUCAUCACUCUCCUGUUGGCUGCAGCUGUCUGCAUCCACGGAGGCGAACCGGUGAAGGACAUUGUCGGAAAUUAUCUUAAAACCGAUCAACAAUACUUCAUCCAGCCGGCAAAUACCGACGGAGGUGGUCUUGUCCCAGCCCCCCCUACAAUAUUUCCUCUUUGCCCACUUGGCAUCGUCCAAACUCUCCAUCCGUAUCAACCUGGCGUACCGCCGGUUAGCUUUUCAAUGCCAUACGCGAACAUGGAAACUACUGUUUCUACAGAUGAUUAUGUAAAUAUCGAGUUCAAGUCCAACAUCUGGGCCUGCAAUAAGUUUUCCAAGUUUUGGAAAGUCAAUGAAACCUCAUCGGCUAGCGAGGAGCCUCUCAUUCUCGUUGGUGGUACACCGCAGGAACCAAAUAGCUGGUUUAAGAUUGACAUUGCCGGAGAAGGAGCGGGAGCAAACAGUUACAAGUUGACUAUAUUUAUAAUAUAUAUGGUUCAGUGAAUU
rnacentral:lncRNA from 1 species